UACGGGGGGGGCAAGCGUUGUUCGGAAUUACUGGGCGUAAAGGGCUCGUAGGUGGCCAACUAAGUCAGACGUGAAAUCCCUCGGCUUAACCGGGGAACUGCGUCUGAUACUGGAUGGCUUGAGUUUGGGAGAGGGAUGCGGAAUUCCAGGUGUAGCGGUGAAAUGCGUAGAUAUCUGGAGGAACACCGGUGGCGAAGGCGGCCAUCCUGGGACCAACACUGA
rnacentral:rRNA from 1 species